AACGAACGCUGGCGGCAUGCCUAACACAUGCAAGUCGAACGAGACCGGCGGGUCUAGGGGCGCACGGGGGCGUAACGCGUGGGAACCUGCCCUUAGGUUCGGAAUAACGCCCCGAAAGGGGUGCUAAUACCGGAUAAGGUCUGCGGACCAAAGAUUUAUCGCCGUUGGAUGGGCCCGCGUUGGAUUAGCUAGUUGGGAGGGUAAAAGCCUACCAAGGCGACGAUCCAUAGCUGGUCUGAGAGGAUGAUCAGCCACACUGGGACUGCGACACGGCCCAGACUCCUACGGGAGGCAGCAGUGGGGAAUAUUGGACUCUGGGCGAAAGCCUGAUCCUGCAAUGCCGCGUGAGUGAUGAAGGCCUUAGGGUUGUAAAGCUCUUUUACCCGGGAUGAUAAUGACAGUACCGGGAGAAUAAGCUCCGGCUAACUCCGUG
rnacentral:rRNA from 1 species